rnacentral:tRNA from 1 species
GGGGUUGUAGCUCAAUUGGUAGAGUGCUUGUCUUCAUGCACAAGGCCCUGGGUUCAAUCCUAGCACCACCA